UUCUCUAGCCAUACCACCCUGAACACGCCUGAUUUCAUCUGAUCUCAGAAGCUAACAGGGUCAGGCCUGGAUGAUACUUGUUUUUUCCUUGCUGAUUUGUUUGAGUUC
rnacentral:rRNA from 1 species